AGUGAACGCUGGCGGUAGGCCUAACACAUGCAAGUCGAACGGCACCAUAGGAGAGCUUGCUCUCUGGGUGGCGAGUGGCGGACGGGUGAGGAAUACAUCAGAAUCUACUCUGUCGUGGGGGAUAACGUAGGGAAACUUACGCUAAUACCGCAUACGACCUACGGGUGAAAGCAGGGGACCUUCGGGCCUUGCGCGAUUGAAUGAGCCGAUGUCGGAUUAGCUAGUUGGCGGGGUAAAGGCCCACCAAGGCGACGAUCCGUAGCUGGUCUGAGAGGAUGAUCAGCCACACUGGAACUGAGACACGGUCCAGACUCCUACGGGAGGCAGCAGUGGGGAAUAUUGGACAAUGGGCGCAAGCCUGAUCCAGCCAUACCGCGUGGGUGAAGAAGGCCUUCGGGUUGUAAAGCCCUUUUGUUGGGAAAGAAAUCCAGCUGGCUAAUACCCGGUUGGGAUGACGGUACCCAAAGAAUAAGCACCGGCUAACUUCGUGCCAGCAGCCGCCGUAA
rnacentral:rRNA from 1 species